GCAUGCUGUUCCCACUGAAGCCCGAGGCCUACCCCCCUCUUCUCCAUCUGGCCAAUCUGCACUCCCAAGGCCCUGAGUCUUCCCUGGCUUCUACCUCAGUUGCCUCUCUAAAUCAUGGAAUCUGUGAAUCUACAUUUAGCACACUGAAACAGAAGGAGAUUCGUGUCAUGUCAUUCUUGGACCAGGUGAUACCCUAGCAACCAGGAUGUUGGAGAUCCCCCACAUAUCUCCACGAACAGGAGCCCAGGGAAGAAAGCAGAAUAAUAAUGCUCUCGAUCAUCCUCUCUUCUUUAUCUAAAACAUGAUUCCUUCCUAUGUUUGCUCAGCAUAGACCACAGCCUUCUUUGCUGCAUGGGAAAAGAAAUGACAGUGGAUGCAAUGUGACCAGCUGCCUCAUACUGGAUGCCUACCCUACAAUGAUGGACUGUACAUCCACAAACUGACUUGAGACCGCCUGUGGAUAAAUCGCAUUUUUGGAUGCCUUGAAGAAAAUGGGUUUUAAAACAAGGAAUCAUAUAAUUACAAAGUAUUUGAAGUUUGGAAAGAGCAGGCUGGGAUCUGAGAAGUGACCAACAAA